GGAAAGCGUGGUCCCCAACUUUGUGAAGAUGGCCCUUCCCAUAAGGGGAACAGGACACUGUGGAAUGACCCAAAAGGAGUGGGUAAAACAUUAGAGAGCCCAAAGCGCAAACAAGCCUAGGUGUCUGUAGGCUUGGUAUUUGCCCUCUACCCCACAACAGAGGUCACAGAACGAGGGGUAGCCCUCAGAUCUCCUUGAGGACUGAAUACGGAGCCCUGGUGUCCAGGAGGAAGGACACAGGCCCCCCUGAAAUACGCUCCCGUGGAGUGAUGGUAGUGGUCAGGUGAUCGGACCUGGGCCUCGUCAGUCCUCUGCAUCCAGUCCUAAGAGUCGGAAAGGGGAACCAGAAGGGCCGAAAGGCUGGGGCCACUAUGGGCUCCGGGACAGUUAACGGCCCAGUGUCCCUCCUGAUGGCAUUUAAGACAAGGGCCCAGAGGCUUGCGAGGCUUGGUACAUGUACGAGCCCAGUGACCCAUCUGACCACAUUUAAAACAGGGUCCAGGUGGUCCCAAGGGACCCUUCCACAGGCCAGUGGAACAGGGACAGAAGCUGACCGACGGAUGGCGUAUUUCUGCUCCGGGGCCCUCUCGUCUCUCCUGUUCUACACCUUAAAGGCCACUCCCAGAACCUCAGCUUGGGGCGUUAGGGGCCCCCUCUUGAGGCACCUCAGUGGCCUUAGUGUCAGGAAACUCUGGGGGGAAAAGUAGUCACUGAAGUGGUCUCCCACCUGGAGUCAGG
rnacentral:lncRNA from 1 species